rnacentral:rRNA from 1 species
GUGACCUCGAAUCAGGUAGAC